rnacentral:rRNA from 1 species
AUGUCCAGCAUGUGGAUUAUAAGCACCAACCCAAAAUACAUGGACAUUAGUGGAGAACGGCUCCGUGAGAUGCUACGCGAUGGUGGUGAGGUGGAUAGCGUGCUGAUGACAUUGGUGAUGAGAAGGUACCAACAGAUUGAUGUGGUAUUCGCUGCUGCAAAAGGAGAGGGAUGUUGGAGACAUUGGCUGGAGCCAGAUUUUGUGAACCAUGUUAGUAGAGGAGACAACAUUUCAAAGCUGAGGUACAUCAAGGACAUGUUCGUGGGGCCGCAUAUCACUUACGAGGUUCACAAAUGCACCGAGUUUGUGUUGCCAGUUAAAUUUGACUUUAAAUGGUCUACGUACAUAUGGGACUUUCCAAGGUCGAAGAUUUUUGUCCUCGACCCAACAAUGAACAAUGGGGAUGAGUCUGAUAAGGAAAUUCAGCUCAGGCACAGGAAGGUGGCAGACGAACUUCACAAGGCUAUAGAGAUGUGCAUAAAGUCAUUCUUCUCUGGAUGGGAUCCAAACAUGAGGUCGUGGAAUACAUGCUUCCCAAGGGGCCUGGCAACAGGGAUAUGCAAGAAGGAAGACACAGGGAUAUAUGCUACUCACUUUGGAAGGAAUUGGAUGGGAAGUAAACUGAAAAGGGAUAUGAACCCGGGUGAUGGUGUCAUGCAUGCUAGGAUGAACAUGCUUGUUGAUUUGCUUGGUUCAGAAGGUAAUAUUGGUCAUCUUCCUGCGAGGUACAAGGAUUGCCUUAUUCGCAAGAAGGACAAGAACAAGGAUUGA